rnacentral:rRNA from 1 species
CCUACGGGUGGCAGCAGUGAGGAAUAUUGGUCAAUGGGCGCGAGCCUGAACCAGCCAAGUCGCGUGAAGGCUGACUGCCCUACGGGUUGUACACUUCUUUUAUAAAUGACUAAAGUGAGGCACGUGUGCCUUUUUGUAUGUACUUUAUGAAUAAGUCUCGGCUAACUCCGUGCCAGCAGCCGCGGUAAUACGGAGGAUCCGAGCGUUAUCCGGAUUUAUUGGGUUUAAAGGGAGCGUAGAUGGGUUGUUAAGUCAGUUGUGAAAGUUUGCGGCUCAACCGUAAAAUUGCAAUUGAGACUGGCAGUCUUGAGUACAGUAGAGGUAGGCGGAAUUCGUGGUGUAGCGGUGAAAUGCUUAGAUAUCACGAAGAACCCCGAUUGCGAAGGCAGCUUACUAAACUGUGACUGACAUUGAUGCUCGAAAGUGUGGGUAUCAAACAGGAUUAGAUACCCGGGUAGUC